rnacentral:rRNA from 1 species
UACGUAGGUCGCAAGCGUUGUCCGGAUUUACUGGGCGUAAAGAGCGCGCAGGCGGCUGGUCAAGUCCGAUGUGAAAUCUCCCGGCUCAACUGGGAAACUGCGUCGGAAACUGAUCGGCUUGAAGGUGGGAGAGGGUAGUGGAAUUCCCGGUGUAGUGGUGAAAUGCGUAGAUAUCGGGAGGAACACCAGCGGCGAAGGCGGCCCCCUGGGCCGCUCCUGACGCUGAGACGCGAAGGCCAGGGUAGCGAACGGG